GUCCCCCGUCCUCAAGCCCUUCUUCUUCCUGCACCCAAAGUCUGAGCUGGAGGUGCAGGUGCACGUCGGGGGUCAACUGAUGGAGUCUUUCGUGGAGGCGGGGCCAGACGCAACUGAGCAGGAAGCCCCGCCCACCACAGCAGAGGACGAACCGGAAGCAGAGCUGCCCAGUGGACCACACAGCUUCCGUCUGGAGGACCUGGCCUUCACCCGGAGCGGAGACAAAGGCGACUCGGCGAACAUCGGUGAGAAC